rnacentral:tRNA from 1 species
GGCUAUGUAGCUCAGUUGAUAGAGCGACGGGGUACAAAUCCGGACGCCGCGGGUUUAAGUCCUGCCGGCAGUCG